CAGACACACAGCCUUUAUGAGCAAUAAAACAUUGACUGCUAUGAGAGUAGGCCAAUUAGCUAUUUUAGCAUUAGCUUUGUGGUCCAGUUGAUUCCAGUACUACAUUUUAUUCCAUUCUACUGUCAUGUAGCGAAGCUUGAUGCGGCAUCAAUGUGCCCCCACCCCAACCCAACAGGAAAUGAGGUGCAUCAAUGUCUUGACUGUUUGAACAUGUGGACCUUGAAGACCUCACCGAGCCUCCGAGGCUGCCAUCUUGGUCCUGAGAGGUAAUGGGAUGUCGCCCGAUGCCUCAAGUGGGUGGGGCUCCGUUGACGUAACUCAGGUGGAAGUUGCGCGUCCUGCUCAUGCCGCGGCGACACGGCGGCUCCAGGAAGUUCCACAGGAGACAGGCCAGCAGGGAGACAACGGCGGCCAGCAGGAGGCAGAGGAGAGCUGGGGAGGGAGGCGCCCAAGCAGCCCCACUUCUGCUUCUGUGAGUGGGGGACAGGAGCUGGAGGAUGUACGACUUUAUUUCUUCUCUGCGGCCAAGCGAGCGACCACGCAGGCACACACGCGCGCACGUUAACGAGCCAAUCAAAGACGUAAUUGUUCGAGCCACAGUUGUGGAGAUGUUGCAGUACCAGAAGAAACCAUGGGGGCAGUGUUGAGACGUAAAGUCAGAAACGCAUGGAUGUCUACUCCACUGUCACCAUGUUCAUUCCAGUGAUGCUCAGCUUCAUCACAAAACAACCCCUGUUCCUCUUCUUCAUCAUCAUCACUCUGAAACAACAACAACAACACUUCCUGUUCGUUUGGGUUGAAUGAUGACAUCAUCACAAAUGGACUGACCCGUGACUGCUGUCGCUCCCUCGUCCAAUGAGGCCAGGAGUUUAAGAUGAAAGGUUUGUCGUCAUGGCAACAUGGGUUCUCGUCAACGGAUGUUUGCCGAUGGUCCGGUUUGUCAGUGUCUCUGAACUGCAACAACAUUCGUCAUCAGAGAGCUAUAGGCUCCGCCCACAAAUGGCCAAACAUACAGUAUGAAAACACACAAAGUUGUUGUAUGAUGUCUUGGUGUGGAUCAGUACUUGGCCCGAAGGAACCGAUUGGGGAACCAAGAUGCUAACGAGCAGACUGUGCGGCUAGAACUGUGCCGAGACUUGGCCUCAGUGGGUAGACGACCUCCACCAAGGCCAAAAAUCCUAAACUAAUGAAGUCUUCCCCUUCGGUCUUCUAGGGGGAAGUCAUGCACGUUGAAAUAAAGUUGACUGACUUGUGGAGAUGCAACCCACCUGUCCAUCAGUCUGUACAGCUUUACAGCAGGAAGGCGGGGCAGGGCUCUGUCUUCCCAGCCACGCCCUCACACGCCCGUCAAAGCCGACCGACUCGCCAUCUUGGUCUUCUGGUGUGGAGGUCACCAAGUGGUUCCAAUGAUGGCCAAUUGCGUUGUCCCCGGCCAAGUAAGGGGGUGAGGUGUUCAAGUCCUGCAAGUAAAGAAGAGACGCGUCAACGCCAACAUCACCACCAGCGUGCGUCCAUGUGACUCACCAGCUCCGCCUCCUCGUUGAUGGCAUCAUUGCCGAUGUCAGAGCUGAAGGAACUGAUGUAGCUCUGCCUCUUUAAGCGUGUGUUACACACACCUGCAAGCCAAGGCAAACAAGAAGUGACAUCAUCUCAUCUGUAUUCUGGUACCACCCACCCCACCUGUGCAGGUGCUGAAGUAGGAGUCGCCGCUACAGGAGAUGGACCGUCCAACAUCCACUGAAGGGUCCCACUCCAGGUGCUCAUGGGAAGGUGAGGGUGGAGAUGAUGGAGGAAGAGGGACGCGCUCUGAGAGGAGAAGAUGAUCGAGUUAGACGUCUGAGGUCGUCAACAGCAACAGGAAUCACCGAUCCACCUUUAAGGCUGACAGGCAGGUCCAGGUGGGCUCCGUCCUCCUCGAACAAAGUCUCUGAUGGACAGCCAGAAUCCGGAGGCGGAGUCAGCAGGAAGUCAUCCUCAAACACCUGCAUGAAGAGGAGACAAGCAUUGAUGAACAAACACACAAGACGAGCGUCGUCGGCGAGUGCUCACCAGUUUCAUGCUGAGCAGCCGCAUGUGUGUGCGUCCAAUGUUGUUGUACAUGUGACUGCAGCUUCUCAGAAGCUCCAUCAGGUGGUGCUCCACACGCUGAGCGUCUGACGGCUCACAGAGUUGGAUUAGCGCCUCACCGUGCUUCAGCAGGCCACUGACGCGGCCAGAGUUCACGCAAACGUAUUCCUGGAAGGACUAAUGUGGACCAUAAAUGAUGGUAACCUUGUAACGCGCGCACACACACACACACACACACACACACACCUGGAGUUGUUUGAGCUUCUCACAGGUGUUUCCUGUCAGCUCUUGCACAUCUAGUAGACGGACUUCCAGCUCAGCCAACCAGAGAACAAGCUCCUCCCUCUCAGCCUCAAACUCCUCCCACCGGCACACAAAGUUCUGGGAGAGUUUUUCAGGUUUUGGUAUCUGCGUCAUUCAUCUGGCUCGGACCUUCAGCGCAAAAAAAUUCUGACCUUGAGUUGUCCCGUGAUGGACUCCAGCUUGACGUUGACUUCGUCCCAACGCUGGCCGCACACCCUUGCUGCAGUCAGCAGACGUGCCCGCAUGGGGCCCUUAAACAUCUGAGUCAGCGUUCGAUUCCUGUGGGUCAACCCGUCCAGCUGCACCAGCCGUGUUCCCGCCUCGCAGCAGAGCCUCUGUGAGCGCACAGAAGAAGAUGACACAUGGUUCUAACAAGUUGCGAUCGGUCUUGGUCUUUAGUCUUCCUCACCUCAAACCUCCUCAAGACCACCUUGGCGCUCGCAUACGUCACCUGGGUCCAGUCCUGGGAGCCGGCAGCCUGUUCGGCCAAUCGCAGCCAAGCGUCUAAGUCUCCAUGUUCCUUCAUGAAGAUGUGCCACAUCAGCCAGCGUCUCUCCAGCCUGGAGGUGAGAAGAACCAACAGUGAUGACAGGAUUUUGGAGGAUCAUUGAUCUGCUCCCAGAAGCUCACCCCAGCAGGUCGCCAUCUUGGUUCCAGCUGCUGUCAGCCGCCUGCGUCUCACUCAGAUCCGUCAGCGAGUCAUGGGAGUCCAUGGCGGUUAAGUAGCCGCAGACAUUGGAAGGGGGCGUGUCUGUUCCAGACAUCCUGACAUCACCUCGUCUUCACCUUCUGGAGAAGAGAACAUCUCUGAAACCUGCAAUACCACUCUCUACCACAGGGGACAGUGGUGAGUCAAUGUACCGCUACUUCCACGAAGCACACAGCGUCAAGCAACCUAAACUCCUACGACUUCCUGUCCUUCACUUUGUGAAGCGCAUCACAGACCCCCGCGGCGCUGGAGUGGAACAUUCCUGACUAGUACUUGCAGCUCGUUUACGUUUCUGCUCCGCUUCUCUCGCCAACCGCUGUGUGACAU